GUAUGGCUAGCUCAGUCGGUAGAGCAUGAGACUCUUAUUCAUAUGGUCGUGGGUUCGAGCCCUACACUGUGCG